rnacentral:lncRNA from 1 species
GUUGUACCAGCUGUAGGGUGGACAGUGACAGAAUGGCUGAUGUCUUCCGGUCAGUACUUCUGCUGAAGUCAUAUGGAAUGUGUACUUUAGUUCUAAAGGGAGACAUUGCGGUAGUGCAGAACAGCAUCAACUACACCAGAUAAGGGAUCAUAAUGGUUUCAUGGAUUGCAUAGUGAGUAUGAGAAAAGGGAGGAGGCAAGGAUGACUCCUAGGUUUUCCACCUAAUUAUCAUGGUGAAUAGUGGAGCCACUCAUUAGGUGGAAAGACUGGGGAAGUGUAAUUUUGGAAAUGGGUGAAAGGGUAAAUGGAUGGAAUUUCAAGAAUUUGGUUUAGUGUACAUUCAGUUUAGUACACAUUUAGUACACAAACAUCUUGUGGUCAUUUUGCCACUUUUCUGAAGGAGGUAGCAUCUUAAAGAUCAGUGUCCUAAUGGGCGUUUCUUUUCUCCCAGGCUGGAAGAAUUGAGACUGGUUGAUUUUAUUUUAAGCCUUUGUAUAGCUCUUUGUGAAGAUAACUUAGUACAAAUGCUAAACAAGAGAGCAUCACCCAUUUGUUUGGCCUUUUCAAAAUUUACAUCCAUCUAACUUGAUCCAAACAAGCAACUUCUCUUUACCAGGAACCCCAUAACUUGCUCACUUGGCACGCAAGGAUCUCCUGUAGCCCACAACUGAGUUAUUGCCACCACAGAAGGAGGAAGGGGAGGCUUGUUUUUCACUGUAGUGAGUUGGCCUGCUGCAUGAUUUCAGAGGCUGGGAUUCAGCACACAAAGGUUACCUACUGUAUUUAACCAGUGAGUGACUCAUCAGGACAAGAAUGUGGGUAAAGGGCCUCUCAAAUGGUGACAUUCUGCAGUUCUGCUCUUGUCUCUACAGCUAUAGGCUGCAGUUGAAAGAAGAAAGGUGGCUCUUAGUGGACUAAAAUAGGGGGCUGCAUCACAUAUAUACUCUGUUCAUCCAGGCAGUGGCACAUGACUUUGUAGGAGUGAAAUGCACAUUUUCCCAAUCUAAUUGUUUUCCAGAAUCAUUCUCUGUGUGGGAAAUAAACCUCAUCCUCCUGGCCUUAGAAUUCUUAACAUACUAUUUGCUCUCCUAGGAGUUUUGGUACUUCGCCAAACUAAUUGCUUAUCUCAAUGACUAAGGACAAUUUAACAAUAAAAUUUCCUGGACUCUAAUGCAGGAAUUGCUGACUCAUGAGGCCUGGAGAAAAACCCCAGAAACAUAUACUUUUGAAGAAAAAUCUUCAUGGAGUGGCAAAAGUUGUUUACCUGAAGCUCACAAGAUGUAUCCAGAAAAUAUCACCAGGGAUCAGAUCAAGCCUGACCCCCAUUUUACAUCUUCUGUAACCAGAAGCACUCCAAGAACAACACUUUCAUUCAUGGACUUAACAACUACAUUAGAUCAUACCAGCCUGUCACUUCAAAGUCACCAGUGUCAAGGCAUCAAGUGAAUAGAGAAGAUUCUAUGGAUGUAGAAGAGGUCCCUGGGUUUCCGAAUUGCCACUGGAUUGCCUCUAUCAAAUACACAAGAGUUUCAUGAGUGAGAAAUAACCUUCUGUUGCUUUAAAUCUUGGGUUGUGCAAUACAUCAGUGAGCCUACCAUGACUAAUACAUUCUAUGGAUGCAGAUUUCUCUUCUCUGGCCAUUGACAUGAGUGUGCUUUCUGGAUGCAGUCACAGGGGACCCAAGAUUCUUGGACAGAAUUCUCGCCGGGAGCCAACUCAGCCUGAUCUGCUGGCAUCUCUCAAGUAUCAGAAGUCAACAAAAUGGUUUGCCUUGAAGACUUGGCCAGAGCAGCAGCCAAAGUUCAUAAGGCUUUCGUAGAGAGAUUGUUUGUCUAAGAAAACAAAAUUCUAAGGGCUCCCAUUGUGCAGCUGGGGUGGCAAAAUGCAAACUAAUAUAAGGAAAAAAAAUGCUUUUCAUUUCCAUGGAAGAAAUGACCCAUCCUAUUGUUGAUAUUUCCUUUUCUGUGCUAACUUAUUCCAUUAAUUAGGCUCUCGUUUUAUGAGAUAAUUUCACUGCAUGCGUAUCUUCUUUUGGUUAUUACACAAGGACUGUUUUCUAUGGUUCAUAUCUAAGUCCAACCCUGGAAAAAUCUUUUUUUUUGAGACAGCCUUUUUUGUUUUGUUUUGAGACAAUACUCCCUCUGUUGCCCAGGCUG